CAUUAUAUUAGAAGUUUAAUCAUGUUCAUCACGCGACAUCUUAAGCCACACAUCAGUAAAAAAACAAAAUAUGUCAUCAAGCAUUCAGACAUACACUUUAUUAGUUCAUCAUGCCAUUUACUCUAGUUCAAUCCUUGUACAUGUUGAUUUGAUUUAUUUUUGGUGAAUACACAAAAUUGCAGUCAGACCAUUUACUCUAGUUCAACCCUCUGUACCAAGUUGACUUGAUUUAUUUUUGAUGAAUCCACAAAAUUGCAGUCAGGUGCUAGCUGUUUAUUUGCUCGAAUACACAGGAGCAACAUGGUAUUUUUGUGUGCCCCUCCAUGCUGGCAAUCUUACAUGACACUGCACAUUGUUAAAAGUGACAAAUAAUUAGAGAAGUUUCUCUCAACGGUGGUAAAUAAAUUUAUAUAUGCAUGGGUGAGCAUUACUAUGGUCCAACAAGUGGUACCGGAUGGGACCAGUACCGGUAGGUACCCAGUAAAAUCUGACCCGAUUAGAAAGGGCAGGAUGGGCCGCGAGCGCUUGUUGCUUGCGCCGCCGCCGGCUGUCGCGGCGACGUCUUGGAUGGUAUUCAGUUGAACCAGGCGAGGCGGCGAACAAGCGAGCGAGGAAGCAGCAGGAUGCCAGUAUCGCUGCUCGCGGGAUGGAUGAAGAUCAGCACAGGCAGUGAACAAGCGAGCGAGGAUGCAACCAGAGGAAGCAGCAGGAUGCAGCAAGAACUAGCGAGCGAAGAUGCAGGGGACUGACGGGGAGAUCGGCUU
rnacentral:lncRNA from 1 species